rnacentral:rRNA from 1 species
CGCUGGCGGCGUGCUUAACACAUGCAAGUCGAGCGGUAAGGCCCUUCGGGGUACACGAGCGGCGAACGGGUGAGUAACACGUGGGUGAUCUGCCCUGUACUUCGGGAUAAGCCUGGGAAACUGGGUCUAAUACCGGAUAUGACCUUACAUCGCAUGGUGUUUGGUGGAAAGAUUUAUCGGUACAGGAUGGGCCCGCGGCCUAUCAGCUUGUUGGUGGGGUAAUGGCCUACCAAGGCGACGACGGGUAGCCGGCCUGAGAGGGCGACCGGCCACACUGGGACUGAGACACGGCCCAGACUCCUACGGGAGGCAGCAGUGGGGAAUAUUGCACAAUGGGCGAAAGCCUGAUGCAGCGACGCCGCGUGAGGGAUGACGGCCUUCGGGUUGUAAACCUCUUUCGACAGGGACGAAG